UCGACGAGAGGACAUGGGAAGCUUGCUUCCUAUGAAAUCGAGUGGCAAACGGGUGAGUAACGCGUAAACAACCUGCCCUUCGGAUGGGGAUAACAGCCGGAAACGGCUGCUAAUACCGAAUACGAUCUUUUCGUCGCAUGACGAAAAGAAGAAAGGAUGGCCUCUAUACAAAGCUAUCGCCGAAGGAGGGGUUUGCGUCUGAUUAGCUGGUUGGAGGGGUAACGGCCCAACAAGGCGAUGAUCAGUAGCCGGUCUGAGAGGAUGAACGGCCACAUUGGGACUGAGACACGGCCCAGACUCCUACGGGAGGCAGCAGUGGGGAAUCUUCCGCAAUGGACGAAAGUCUGACGGAGCAACGCCGCGUGAGUGAAGAAGGUCUUCGGAUUGUAAAGCUCUGUUAUACGGGACGAAAAAGACGGAUGCCAACAGUAUCCGUCCGUGACGGUACCGUAAGAGAAAGCCACGGCUAACUACGUGCCAGCAGCCGCGGUAAUACGUAGGUGGCAAGCGUUGUCCGGAAUUAUUGGGCGUAAAGGGCGCGCAGGCGGUUCGGUAAGUCUGUCUUAAAAGUGCGGGGCUUAACCCCGUGAGGGGACGGAAACUGUCGAACUUGAGUGUCGGAGAGGAAAGCGGAAUUCCUAGUGUAGCGGUGAAAUGCGUAGAUAUUAGGAGGAACACCGGUGGCGAAAGCGGCUUUCUGGACGACAACUGACGCUGAG
rnacentral:rRNA from 1 species